rnacentral:rRNA from 1 species
UAGGGAAUCUUCCGCAAUGGGCGAAAGCCUGACGGAGCAACGCCGCGUGAGUGAUGAAGGUCUUCGGAUCGUAAAGCUCUGUUAUUAGGGAAGAACAAAUGUGUAAGUAACUAUGCACAUCUUGACGGUACCUAAUCAGAAAGCCACGGCUAACUACGUGCCAGCAGCCGCGGUAAUACGUAGGUGGCAAGCGUUAUCCGGAAUUAUUGGGCGUAAAGCGCGCGUAGGCGGUUUUUUAAGUCUGAUGUGAAAGCCCACGGCUCAACCGUGGAGGGUCAUUGGAAACUGGAAAACUUGAGUGCAGAAGAGGAAAGUGGAAUUCCAUGUGUAGCGGUGAAAUGCGCAGAGAUAUGGAGGAACACCAGUGGCGAAGGCGACUUUCUGGUCUGUAACUGACGCUGAUGUGCGAAAGCGUGGGGAUCAAACAGG